UUGGACAAUGGGCGCAAGCCUGAUCCAGCCAUNNNGCGUGAGUGAUGAAGGCCUUAGGGUUGUAAAGCUCUUUUGCCGGGGACGAUAAUGACGGUACCCGGAGAAUAAGUCCCGGCUAACUUCGUGCCAGCAGCGC
rnacentral:rRNA from 1 species